UUGACGUUAGCGGCGGACGGGUGAGUAACACGUGGGCAACCUACCUUAUAGUUUGGGAUAACUCCGGGAAACCGGGGCUAAUACCGAAUAAUCUAUUUUACUUCAUGGUGAAAUACUGAAAGACGGUUUCGGCUGUCGCUAUAAGAUGGGCCCGCGGCGCAUUAGCUAGUUGGUGAGGUAACGGCUCACCAAGGCAACGAUGCGUAGCCGACCUGAGAGGGUGAUCGGCCACACUGGGACUGAGACACGGCCCAGACUCCUACGGGAGGCAGCAGUAGGGAAUCUUCCACAAUGGGCGAAAGCCUGAUGGAGCAACGCCGCGUGAGUGAAGAAGGUUUUCGGAUCGUAAAACUCUGUUGUAAGGGAAGAACAAGUACAGUAGUAACUGGCUGUACCUUGACGGUACCUUAUUAGAAAGCCACGGCUAACUACGUGCCAGCAGCCGCGGUAAUACGUAGGUGGCAAGCGUUGUCCGGAAUUAUUGGGCGUAAAGCGCGCGCAGGCGGUCCUUUAAGUCUGAUGUGAAAGCCCACGGCUCAACCGUGGAGGGUCAUUGGAAACUGGGGGACUUGAGUGCAGAAGAGGAAAGUGGAAUUCCAAGUGUAGCGGUGAAAUGCGUAGAGAUUUGGAGGAACACCAGUGGCGAAAGGCGACUUUCUGGUCUGUAACUGACGCUGAGGCGCGAAAGCGUGGGGGAGCAAACAGGAUUAGAUACCCUGGUAGUCCACGCCGUAAACGAUGAGUGCUAAGUGUUAGGGGGUUUCCGCCCCCUUAGUGCUGCAGCUAACGCAUUAAGCACUCCCGCCCUGGGGGAGUACGGGUCGCAGACUGAAACUCAAAGUAUUUGACGGGGACCGCACAGCGGUGCAGCAUGUGCUUGAUCGAGCACGCGAGAUCGUACCAGG
rnacentral:rRNA from 1 species